CCUGAGGAUCAAGAAGGGAUCUACUGAGGAUCCUGACGUUCCCACAUCCAGUUUCUGGACGUGCAGAACAGAGAGCAGCGAUGCAGGACGACGGCACGUCUGUCAAACUGGAGCUGAAGGCAGCAGCUCUGGUUCUGGUUCUGCUCGGCAGACCCGGAAACUCAGAACCUCGCUGCCAGUUUAUAUUGGUUUGAGAAGCAAACCCCCCCCAGCACCACGCUGGGACGGCCGUGGUGACUCCAGGUAUGUUUUUUUUGUUUUUUAUUUAAAGAAAACAAUUGACACUCCAUUGGCCAGAAUGUUGCCAUGGAGACGUACUUUAAAAGAGGAGCACAAGGUUAUUAAGAGCCUAAAGAUCCAUUUCCAGAAGGGGGCGCCAGACACAACAGAAGCCAAUAAACAGAAACCCAAACAGAGGUGUUAAAUUCCAGGAAGACAAAGCCACCGGAGCCCAAAAGGGAGACUGACCUCGGAGCUGAAUUCUGCUGGUGAUGUAUUCCUCCAACCGACUUCUCAGCUCCGGAUCGUUCUCAAAGUCGUAGAAGUGAUGCUCCACCCACUGACGGAAAACAUUCAGGACCCUGCGGAGGAGAAACCAUCAGAGCUGCGCCGCAAAAGGAAGUCAAGAAAACCAGAGAAACACUUCCGGGGUUUUAAAGCUGCAGCCAAUCAGAUCGGUUAGAGCAGCGGUCUGCAGACUUUAACACUAAAAAAUAAAUUUGUUUCACUUUCUUACUGUCACAAACCCAAGGAGACCCAAAGUCCAACAACCUGUUUGGAAAAAUACACAUUUUUGGACUUUUGA